rnacentral:rRNA from 1 species
GACGAACGCUGGCGGCGUGCCUAAUACAUGCAAGUCGAACGCAGUGGGGACGGGUGAGUAACACGUGGGUAAUCUCCCAUAUGAGGGGAUAACCCUUGGAAACAGGUGCUAAACUGAUAUUGAUGGAUGGACUCGCGGUGCAUUAGCUAGUUGGGGGGGUAACGGCUUACCAAGGCGACGAUGCAUAGCCGACCUGAGAGGGUGACCAGCCACACUGGAACUGAGACACGGCCCAGACUCCUACGGGAGGCAGCAGUGGGGAAUCUUCGGCAAUGGACGAAAGUCUGACCGAGCAACGCCGCGUGAGUGAAGAAGGUUUUCGGAUCGUAAAACUCUGUUGUUAGAGAAGCGGUAUCUAACCAGAAAGCCACGGCUAACUACGUGCCAGCAGCCGCGGUAAUAC